rnacentral:rRNA from 1 species
UACGAAGGGGGCUAGCGUUGCUCGGAAUCACUGGGCGUAAAGCGCACGUAGGCGGAUUCUUAAGUCAGGGGUGAAAUCCUGGAGCUCAACUCCAGAACUGCCUUUGAUACUGGGAGUCUCGAGUCCGGGAGAGGUGAGUGGAACUGCGAGUGUAGAGGUGAAAUUCGUAGAUAUUCGCAAGAACACCAGUGGCGAAGGCGGCUCACUGGGGCGGUACUGACGCUGAGGUGCGAAAGCGUGGGGAGCAAACAGG